rfam:Neisseria animaloris strain DSM 21642 NODE_1_length_568283_cov_40.5228_ID_1, whole genome shotgun sequence.
CUUUCCCUGCGAUGUUCGCGAAGGCAUACAUUCCUUUGAACCAAUACGUUCGCUUAAGGUUGCCGGGAGUUGCAGUGGGCGCGAGCGUCUUCACAGAUGCACCCGAAACUGCCCGUGGCGACCACCUUGUCAGCAAGGUUCAAGCGGAUUCAGCCAAAACGACAUCAGCGGGGAUCCU